rnacentral:rRNA from 1 species
UGAGGAAUAUUGGUCAAUGGACGAGAGUCUGAACCAGCCAAGUCGCGUGAAGGAAGACUGCCCGCAAGGGUUGUAAACUUCUUUUGUAUGGGAUUAAAGUCACCUACGUGUAGGUGUUUGCAGUUACCAUACGAAUAAGCAUCGGCUAACUCCGUGCCAGCAGCCGCGGUAAUACGUAGGGGGCUAGCGUUGUCCGGAAUCACUGGGCGUAAAGGGUUCGCAGGCGGAAAUGCAAGUCAGGUGUAAAAGGCAGUAGCUUAACUACUGUAAGCAUUUGAAACUGCAUAUCUUGAGAAGAGUAGAGGUAAGUGGAAUUUUUAGUGUAGCGGUGAAAUGCGUAGAUAUUAAAAAGAAUACCGGUGGCGAAGGCGACUUACUGGGCUCAUUCUGACGCUGAGGAACGAAAGCGUGGGUAGCAAACAGG